AACAUGAUGUUAGGCAAGCAGACCUGCUGAAUUUAAGCAUAUAAGUAAGCGGAGGACAACACACUGAACAGGAUUCUUGUAGUAAUGGCGAAUGAACAAGGAAGAGCUCAUACUGAAAAUCAAACCUUCAGGUUUGAAUUGUAUGUUUAAGAUGUAAUGCCAAUAGCAAUGCAAGGGUAAGCUUUUGGGGUGAAGCAGCAUUGAAGGUGAAAGUCCUGUUUGUCCCUUGUGGCUUGCUAUGUACGGCAUGCUUCCACGAAUCGUGUUCCUUGAAAAUGGAGCGCAAAGUGGGUGGUAAAUUUCAUCCAAAGCUAAAUAUGGGUUUGAAAUUGAUAGCAAACAAGUACCAUGAGGGAAAUGUGAAAAGGACUUUGAAAAGAAAGUUAGAAGUGCCUGAAAUUGUUGAAAGGAAAGCAAACGAAAUUGAUCUUGUUGAGGUAGAUUGCUUCAUGUGCGGGGGGAGGGUGAUGUUGCACACUUGCKGCAUUGUUCCCCUGCUCCUCACACUUGUGGUGUGUCUGCCUCUACAUAUCAAACAUMAUUUGGGUCUUGCCAAUGUGCAUGGUGCAAGGGAUUUCAACUUUUUGAAUGAUKGCUCCUUCGUCURGCAYCCUGUUUGAKKBCUUUGCACKUGGGUUUSAUGGRUCWCUUGWGUGMWCWWGCAW
rnacentral:rRNA from 1 species